CACUAGGGUUGUAUAGCUACACUACAAAAUUGCGUAAGGUUAGUGUUGUUGCUUACCUUUAUAAGCCCGAGGUUUCGUGGGCAUGGCUUGCGGCCACACGGGUCUUCUCCGUGCCGGAAUCGAAGAGGACGGGCCACGUGUUGCGGGGUGGCGGCGUAUAGCUUCAGGUUUUAGCUGACACACAGGGUUAGCUCACACUGCGCAGGCAACAGCUGAUAGCCGUCCUCUUACGACUGCGUCAGGGACAUGGACCCAUCCGAACGGCCUUGCGACCCGACCCCACUAUUUCGUGACGGAGAUAGCCCGCGCGCGUCAGUGCGCGUGCUAUCGAGCGAAAUGUGGAAUGACGGAAGCAAACGGCAUUCGGACAUUACCUCGCCAGCUAUUAGGCACUAACCCGCUCUACGCAGCACCUCGACGCCGGACGUCGCCUGCUGUUUUCGUCGGAGCUGGGCCGGUCAGCAGCUACAAGCAUCACUCGCACCGCGCACGGCCUACAGUCUUCCCUCUUAGGCGUAGCCUUGUGGCCCUGCACCGGGAUCCCGAGGUCCGCUUUCGAGAUUGCGGACCACGAGUCGGAAGGAUAUCCAGUGUGCUGCUCCACGUUUGCCAUCCUCCCAACGUCCCCCACCGGAGAUGGCCUUGAGCACUUCUUACCGUGGCUGACCGCGUUGGCUCCUUUGCAUUUCCGCGUCCACGUCGUCCUUCUGCUACGGCGCACUUCGUUUGCUACUACUGCCCACGUGUAAGAUGGAUAUCCAGUGCGCUGCUCCACGUUUGCCAUUCUCCCAACGUCCCCCUCAGGAGAUGGCCUAGAGCACCGCUCGUACCCUGACCGACUGUUCCCCUUCGCCGGUGCGGUCUCGCCGGCAGACGAGAUCGCUCGACGCCCUUCUUAGCUACGGGCAAGUACCACGCACAGACCACUCGUACUACGGCUGUGUCCUCGAGUGGUCGAAAAAUGAGCCUUAUUGCUUCAGUUCGU
rnacentral:lncRNA from 1 species